GAUGAACGCUGGCGGCGUGCCUAAUACAUGCAAGUCGAGCGAACGGACGAGAAGCUUGCUUUUCUGAUGUUAGCGGCGGACGGGUGAGUAACACGUGGAUAACCUACCUAUAAGACUGGGAUAAUUUCGGGAAACCGGAGCUAAUACCGGAUAAUAUUUUGUACCGCAUGGUUCAAAAGUGAAUGACGGUCUUGCUGUCACUUAUAGAUGGAUCCGCGUUGGAUUAGCUAGUUGGUAAGGUAACGGCUUACCAAGGCAACGAUGCAUAGCCGACCUGAGAGGAUGAUCGGCCACACUGGAACUGAGACACGGUCCAGACUCCUACGGGAGGCAGCAGUAGGGAAUCUUCCGCAAUGGGCGAAAGCCUGACGGAGCAACGCCGCGUGAGUGAUGAAGGUCUUCGGGUCGUAAAACUCUGUUAUUAGGGAAGAACAUAUGUGUAAGUAACCGUGCACAUCUUGACGGUACCUAAUCAGAAAGCCACGGCUAACUACGUG
rnacentral:rRNA from 1 species